rnacentral:lncRNA from 1 species
AAUAAAACCAAGAGGCCUUUUAUAAAUGCCCUGAUGGAAUUAAUAAUAAAAAAAUUGAAAUAGGUAUUUCUCUUUUAACAGACGAUUAAGGAAAAAAUGUCUUCUUUAGCUUCGUGGCCAGAUGAGCUUCUGGAUAUCAAUAGACACAGGAACAAAAUGAAUGCCAGAAGGAUGCACCAGAUCCACCAGACUAUGGACUGACCAAUCAUCAAGUCAAGGCCUUGGUGGAGCCAAAUGAAGUUUGUUGGGAAUUCUAUGUUCAGCACCUGGAAGUAUCUUGGCAGUUUUUUUCUUCUGUGGAAUGUUUCCUGACAUCCAUUUGGAGGUCACUAAGAAUAUGUAUGUGAAUGCAAGAAAUAAUUGGCACAUAUGGAGAAUGGAAAAGAUAAGUAGCAGAAAUUCAAGACUAUUUUCCAUUUGGAAAGAACAACUUUUGCCAUCAAAUAGAUUUGGCCACAUAUUUCUGGAUUCCUUACUUUUAUAG